rnacentral:rRNA from 1 species
UACGGAAGGCAGCAGUGGGGAAUAUUGCACAAUGGGCGCAAGCCUGAUGCAGCCAUGCCGCGUGUAUGAAGAAGGCCUUCGGGUUGUAAAGUACUUUUCAGUCGUGAGGAAGGUGUUAAGGUUAAUAACCUUAGCAAUUGACGUUAGCGACAGAAGAAGCACCGGCUAACUCCGUGCCAGCAGCCGCGGUAAUACGGAGGGUGCGAGCGUUAAUCGGAAUUACUGGGCGUAAAGGGCACGCAGGCGGUUAAUUAAGUUGGAUGUGAAAUCCCCGGGCUUAACCUGGGAAUGGCAUUCAAGACUGGUUAGCUAGAGUCUUGUAGAGGGGGUUAGAAUUCCAUGUGUAGCGGUGAAAUGCGUAGAGAUGUGGAGGAAUACCGGUGGCGAAGGCGGCCCCUGGACAAAGGCUGACGCUCAUGUGCGAAAGCGUGGGGAGCAAAC